UGGAGCUUGGCUCAGUGGUAGAGUGCUUGCCUAGCAUGCAUGAGGCACUGGGUUCAAUCCUCAGCCCCAC
rnacentral:tRNA from 1 species